rnacentral:rRNA from 1 species
AGUGAACGCUGGCGGUAGGCCUAACACAUGCAAGUCGAACGGCAGCACAGUAAGAGCUUGCUCUUACGGGUGGCGAGUGGCGGACGGGUGAGGAAUACAUCGGAAUCUACUUUUUCGUGGGGGAUAACGUAGGGAAACUUACGCUAAUACCGCAUACGACCUACGGGUGAAAGCAGGGGAUCUUCGGACCUUGCGCGAUUGAAUGAGCCGAUGUCGGAUUAGCUAGUUGGCGGGGUAAAGGCCCACCAAGGCGACGAUCCGUAGCUGGUCUGAGAGGCUGGUCAGCCACACUGGAACUGAGACACGGUCCAGACUCCUACGGGAGGCAGCAGUGGGGAAUAUUGGACAAUGGGCGCAAGCCUGAUCCAGCCAUACCGCGUGGGUGAAGAAGGCCUUCGGGUUGUAAAGCCCUUUUAUUGGGAAAGAAAAGCAGCAGGUUAAUACCCCGCUGUUCUGACGGUACCCAAAGAAUAAGUACCGGCUAACUUCGUG